GCGCGCCCUCUUGCGGCGCGGGGUAAGUGGCUUCCCUGGCGCGCGAGGGCGCGCGUGGAGACGCGUCGGCGCUGGACGACUGCGGGCGGGCCCGGGCGGGGAGCUUCGCAAGCUGGCCUCGUCUUCCUGUCAGAGAUACUGACUUCUGCAGUUGGUGUUGCUCCGUCGAGGCUUGAGAGGCGAGGCCGACAAAGGCUUCUUCCCACCCCCCGGGCUCCCUGGGAACGUUGUUGUGGAAUGGCGACUGACUCCUCGUGACCUUCCGGAACUCAGAAGCCUCGAAUUCUUGGUACUUUAUUUUGAGACAUUUCUUGCCUUCGUUUUAACCGUUGUCUGAUAAAAAGAAGUAUGUCGGUGAAACCCUGCAUUUCCGUAUUUUACAACGAUGACCUUUGUGUAAAUUUUACUGUCUGCUUAAUCCGCCAAAGUCAUUAAUUUCAAUAAGAUUUAUGUAAUUUGCAAGAAUGUGUUUUUCAAAAUGUUUGUCCCCCAAAGGCCUUUUUUUUUCCCUGAGUAAAUUUAAGAAUGCCAUUUCAGUUUAUUUUAAAGAAAUAAAGUCAGUGAUUUUUGA